GACGAACGCUGGCGGCGUGCUUAACACAUGCAAGUCGAACGAAGUGGCGAACGGGUGGGUAAUACGAGAGUAACCUGCCCUCCUUUCUGGGAUAAGCCUUGGAAACGGGGUGUAAUAUAAAAUCAAGGGGGAGGGGCUGGCGGCCUAGCAGAUCGGUGGGGGGGUGAUGGCCUACCAAGGCGGUGACGGGUAGCCGGCCUGAGAGGGUUACCGGCCACAUUGGGACUGAGGUACGGCCCAGACUCCUACGGGAGGGAGCAGUGGGGGGUAUUGCACAAUUGGCGAAAGCCUGAUGCAGCGACGCCGCGUGGGGGAUUAAGGCUUUCGGGUUGUAAACCUCUUUCGCCUUCGAACGGGUAGGUGGAGAAGAAGCGCCGGCUAACUACGUGCCAGCAGCCGCGGUAAUUC
rnacentral:rRNA from 1 species